rnacentral:rRNA from 1 species
UACGUAGGGGGCAAGCGUUGUCCGGAAUCAUUGGGCGUAAAGCGCGUGUAGGCGGUCCGGUAAGUCCGCUGUGAAAGUCCAGGGCUCAACCCUGGGAUGCCGGUGGAUACUGUCGGGCUAGAGUGCGGAAGAGGCGAGUGGAAUUCCUGGUGUAGCGGUGAAAUGCGCAGAUAUCAGGAGGAACACCUAUUGCGAAGGCAGCUCGCUGGGACGUAACUGACGCUGAGACGCGAAAGCGUGGGGAGCAAACAGG